rnacentral:lncRNA from 1 species
AGGAAUGGGGUUGUGCACUACAAAAUAGACAUAGUUCAGAUAUAAAGUAAAAAAAAAAGGGUGGUAAGAAAAUAACGAGUGAUCAUUCAACACGUUACCUGCUACCCCCCACAGUCGCCUAAACGAGGGAAGGCACUCCACGGCAACCGAGGCUUGAUCCAAUCUAACGUUAAAAAAGCAACUCUUCCAUCCACGAUCGCCCGGAGGGAAUCCUUUCAGGACCUCCAUAAAAGUACGCGGUCUAAAACCAUACAGAC